rnacentral:tRNA from 1 species
UCCCUGGUGGCUCAGAUGGUAAAGUGUCUGCCUACAAUGCGGGAGACCCGGAUUCGAUUCCUGGCUUGGGAA